rnacentral:piRNA from 1 species
UGGAAAAGUCUGAAUUUGAAGUUGUUUCA